ensembl:lncRNA
UUCAAGGGCAUUCCCCGAAUGCAUUGAGACAAGUGCUGGGCAAAGUCUGUCCAAGGUGGCGUGUAAAGCUAAAUGUUGACUAGUGUUAAUAGUUAUAAGCUAAUACUGAAUACUCAAUGUGUACUUGUACUAUUUAUUUUCUGAUUAGAGUUUUGUGCCUUAAGCUUAUAGCAGCACAUUAACGUUUACCUCCUUCUCCAAAUCCCUUUCGUUUCGGCAUCCUUCUCUGUUGAACUUUCCACACUGCUUCCUUCUUUAUAACUGGGGCCACAUCUGAAACAAAAGCAAAAUUAUGGGUCUGGUUUGGGUGGGUGGGAGAGAAGAGGAGUGACCGUGGCAUGUGGUUCUCCUGAGUCCGAGCAGGCCGAAGCAAGGCCGGCAGAGGAGAAAAGAAGAAUCUCUAUGAAUGUGAAGAAAACCCGACCACAGCUAAUUGAAAUGUGUCAUUAACGCGACGGGAAGAUCUAAACUGGUGCUGGCAACGACACUGGAAAUAAAAAAGAAGCCACAUAUUCCUAAAGACAUCCCUUGUUUUCCCUCUUUUGUUGAGAGAUUCAGGGAGUCGUGAAGUGGAGCCCUCCUGCCCCUUGUGUAAAGCGCUGUACUUAACACCUCAUAAAUUUUCCCUUAAAGAGUGCCGAGUAACGACUUCCUAAUGACAUUUCCCAUAGCUGUUCUGCAUCGCCGUUCAAGGGAAACCACGGCUAAUACAAUGAUGAUAUUGGACUUGGACUGAAUAUUCUGUGUCUGUAUCCAUGUCCGAGGACCGGACACGAACUGCAGACUCAAGCUCCCAAGACCUAUUCCAGGAGGUCCUGAAUUCCCUCAAACGAAUCCUCACCACUGCUUCUACCAUUUCUUCAACCACUCCUUAUUGCAGCUCUUCUGGUGGCGAUGGAGGCUGCCACGGAGGUUCAGUGCGGCCGCAGGGCCGAUCAUCGUCCGGGAAUCUGACAACACCAGUCCUGAAAGACUCAUCGACAGGAAAAAGCAAGUACAAGCCUGAUUUGUAAUUGAGACGACAGAUGGUUUUACUUAAUCAGCCAUUCUGGAGAAAAUCAACAGAGUGUUGAAUUGAUAAAGAAUUGUGGUUUAGAGGAAUAAUCAAUGAUUCAUGAAGGACUCAUGAAGUAUUUAUGUUCUCAUUUCAAUGCAAAAAAUCAUUAUCUUCAUCAGUUUUUUUAGUCUUGUUGUCCAACACAAAUAUCUUAAUAUCCUUGAACCAAGAUUUAUAAAUCUGAUUAAAUAUAAUGCACUUCCACAG